GUGAUUUAUGGCAAUGUUACGGAGGUUGAGUCGGCAAGAUUUAGAUACUGAUUGGAUAUGGGGCUGACAGGAGAGCUCAGAAUCAAGGAUUACUCCGAGCACCCUGGAUUGACGGGGAGGCACAUUGUUUUGUUGUGCACUGUG